GAAACGAUGUUUAUACUAAACGUUAAGUCACAGGAGAUAAAGAACUACUGAUACAACUGUUAAAGCAUUUUUAAAGUACAAAAGGAAAUAGACCAUCUAGAAAGAUGCCACGAUACAGUUUCUACAGAAAUGUCUUCUGUUUCGCCAUCACAAUCUGUACGACGAUCAUGGCAACAUCAGGGUCACGUAGCUUUUCCAAAUCAGAUUUCAUGAAUUUCAUUUCCACAAUUCAAGAUCCUAACCUAAAAGUACUAAGUCAGAUAUUAAAAGACGAAGCGUGGAGACGGAAACUGAACGAACUGUCCUCGGAAAUUGACGAUAUUGAUCUCUCCGAAGAAUAUCUGAACGAACUGUCAUCCGAAAAUCAGAGACGAGGUUAUCUUCCCUCUUUUAUGUCUGUAAGAAAAAGGAAAGUAUUUUGGCAACCAAUGCCCUUCGUUCCACACGAUGUAAGGCAGAAUUCAAGGGAUAAGGAUGCAGGAACGAAUGAUAGUCCUAAUAGUGGAACAAUAUUAAGAUAUGGUUAAAUCUAAAGUUCUUUAGAACAUAUUUCUAUGAAUUAUUUCAUAGUUUCUUUUAUGCCUUUCCAGCUAAAUAACUGAAAAUGUGAACAAAGGUAACUACAAUAAUGUAACAGCACUUCAACCACAUAAAUUUCCUUCGCAAGAUUCCAUUGUCAAAUGCAUCGCAUGAUUGUCUUAUAUUCUCUUUAAUGCAAAUUAUAUAAACUUUUGUAUUCUUCAACCUUACCAUACCCUCUAAUUUAUGAAUAAACAGAGCUUUUUAGUUGUA